GACGAUUCCAGAGCAAAAGCACGGCGGAGUUUCCAUGGCUUUUAACCGGAGAAAAGUUAGGGUUUAAUAGCGAAUUGAAGUUCGAGAAACGGGAAGAAGGCAAUGGAGGGAAAUUCAGAAAAUGAGAGACGAUGAGCGGUGGCAGCGGUGUAAGUUGCAGACGAUAGACAACGACGUGCGGCAAAUUGAUGGCUCGGCAUGAGAUGACAUGAACGACUUGGGACGAAUCGAUGACACGGAUGGUGUGGGGCGAAUUGACAGCGACAGGUUGAGCAGAUUCGAUCGACGGCACAGUAGGGCGAGCAAAUCCAGUCGACGACGAUGGGGAGAGAGAUCUGUGGCGACCAUGGCUGAAGAAAAAGAGAUGAAGAUGAAGGGUUAUGUAUUAUAAACCCUCAUAUGAAGAUGAACUUCAUUUUUUUUUUCCUAUUUAUUAUAUAUACUGUGAUAUAUAUGUACUUAUUUUAUAGCUUUUGUAGGAAAUUUGAUAUAUAAUGUGGUAUAUGUAUUCGUUUAUUUAAUAUAAACUAGUAUUUUUUUUUUUAUUUAGACUUAUUGUAUUAUGAUAUAUAUAUU